AUACGUAGGGGGCGAGCGUUGUCCGGAAUGAUUGGGCGUAAAGGGCGCGUAGGCGGCCUGGUAAGUCUGAAGUGAAAGUCCCGCUUUCAAGGUGGGAAUUGCUUUGGAUACUGCUGGGCUUGAGUGCAGGAGAGGAAAGCGGAAUUCCCGGUGUAGCGGUGAAAUGCGUAGAGAUCGGGAGGAACACCAGUGGCGAAGGCGGCUUUCUGGACUGUAACUGACGCUGAGGCGCGAAAGCGUGGGGAGCAAACAGGAUUAGAUACCCUGGUAGUCCACGCUGUAAACGAUGAAUGCUAGGUGUAGGAGGUAUCGACCCCUUCUGUGCCGGAGUAAACACAAUAAGCAUUCCGCCUGGGGAGUACGGCCGCAAGGUUGAAACUCAAAUGAAUUGACGGGG
rnacentral:rRNA from 1 species